rnacentral:rRNA from 1 species
GACGAACGCUGGCGGCGUGCUUAACACAUGCAAGUCGAACGGAAAGGCCUCUUUCGGGGGGUACUCGAGUGGCGAACGGGUGAGUAACACGUGAGUAACCUGCCCUUGACUUUGGGAUAACUUCAGGAAACUGGGGCUAAUACCGGAUAGGAGCUCCUGCUGCAUGGUGGGGGUUGGAAAGUUUCGGCGGUUGGGGAUGGGCUCGCGGCUUAUCAGCUUGUUGGUGGGGUAGUGGCUUACCAAGGCUUUGACGGGUAGCCGGCCUGGGAGGGUGACCGGCCACAUUGGGACUGAGAUACGGCCCAGACUCCUACGGGAAGCAGCAGUGGGGAAUAUUGCACAAUGGGUGGAAGCCUGAUGCAGCAACGCCGUGUGCGGGGUGGCGGCCUUCGGGUUGUAAACCGCUUUCGCUCAUGACGGAGCUUUGUGUGACGGUAGUGGGUAAAGAAGCACCGGCUAACUACGUG